rnacentral:lncRNA from 1 species
UCUAGAUUGAGGCCUAGCAGCAAACUUUUAAGGACAUAAAUUGGAUGGGCUCCAGUGAGUUACCUAACCAGGUUCCACUUAGUGAAAGCUCCAGAGUCUUCAAAUGCAGAAUGAUCGUUACACUGCUGUAACCUGGAGACAAGCAGCUCAUCUAGUGAUUAAUGCAAACUGAGGCCUUGAUAAUUUCAUUAGCAGAAGUCAAAUCAAGACAAAUAAGUCCCCAAGGCUUCAUUGGCUACCAAGUCAAGUUGCUGGUACAAAUGUUGACUGUUAACUACAUUUUCCAGGCAACACACAGUUACCAUACAAGUGGGUGGUCCUCUGCAUCUGUGGACACCACAUCUGUGUAUUCCAUCCACAGAGGAUCAAAAAUAUUUAGGAAGAAACUUCAUAUAUAUGGAACAUGUGCAGAGUUAUAUCGUUGUCAUCAUUCCCUAAGCAAUUAGUAUAUAAGCAUUAUGAAGCAUUUCCAAUGGUAUAAGUAUUUAAGUAACCUAUAAAUGAUUCAAAGAAUGUGUGUAGGUCACAGGCCAUUGCACUUGAGCAGGUAGAGAUUUGGGUAUCUGAGGGGGUUUCUGGAAUCCAUCCUCACAUUCACCAAGGAACAACCACAUAUUUACAAAAACAAUUCUGUUCCACAAUGUUUUAGGAUGGGGCAGCAGGAAGGCAGGGAUGUGAGGAGGGCUGGAAUGAUUCUUGGUGCCAUUGUAGACAUCCCAGCCAGCCUGGGCAGGAGACAGGAGGGCCAAGUACAGGCCAGCUGGCUGCUGCUGUGUCACCACAGACCAUCCAAGCUCAUUGUUGUGAUGUCUUUCAACUAUUCAUGGUAACACAAGACAGUGGAGAGAGUCCUAUUCCUUCUCAGCAUUCCAGUUAGGUAGGGCUCUGGCCACAUUUCUGAAAAACAAAAACACUGUUAGGUAAAAAUGAACACUUCCACCUGCCUAAAAUGAAGUCCCCAUGGCAGAAAGAGACCCAGUAGGUUCACGAUUGCAGAAUCAAAAUACAGCUGUUUACCCAGCAAUACCUGAAGCCAGUCCUCUCUGAUUUGUGCCUAACAUCACUGAAGAAAAUUCAGCUGCAGUUGUGACUAAGUUGGCUAACUACUUUUGAAUGUCGAUUAUUUUCCAUAGAUGUCAUCAAAACAAAAAUGUUUUCCAACAGAGAUACCAGUGCUAAAAACGCCCAUGUACAAUUUAAUGGGAAAUACAUGAAAAUUCCAUAUACAAUAGAUACAUUUGAAAAAGUAAACAAAAAUGAAUAGUUUUCCCAAAAAAGAGAAGUUUAAAAUCAACGAGGAAAAUGUUCCUAAAUUGUCAAGGAAGAGAUAAUUUCCAUGGAAUGUAAACUGCUCCAAAGUGAAACAGGACUCACUCCAGCCCCAUCCCUGCUAGUCCAAACCAGGCCCUGUCCAGGUGUGGCACUGGGCACCAGCCUUCAGCUUUGGCCCUGAAUUGCACUGGCAGCCACUGAAUAAGUGAUGGAUCACAUAGAAUAAGCAUAUGUCUGGGAGCUCCUGGGUCCUGAGUGAAGGGGUGGAAGAGCCCCAUGGCAGCUGAUGGAGUAAGGAACCCCUACACAGCUUCCUGGUGUAAACCAUAACUGUCUCUGUGAUUCACUUCCCACCACCAUCUCCUAGGUAGUUGGUGAGGGAUUCAAAAGGUGACACAAAGGAAUCCUCCAGAAUGAAGAACAAGAAAGGAUGACACCAGUGGUGACUACAAGAACGCCCUCCCUGAACCUGGUGGGAAGUGACCCAUGAAGUCACUGAAGAAUGAGAGCCAAGACCAAGAAGCAGGGGUCUCCAGGCCCUGCCCCCAUGACCUUGGCCAUGGGUGGGGGUUGAGGGGCCCUCAGCCAGCUUCCAGUCUUUAUCUCCUAGUGCUUUCUGGCCAACAUUUCUGACCCAGAGGAUGACACCAGCCCCAGCUCCUCCUUCCAUCUUCUCUCCCAGAUCAUCUCUAGGUCAUGCACAAAGACUUUAGCAAAGCUCUUGCUGGACAAAUAUGUCAGCCUACAGGGGCUCAUGGGUCAUUUCUUCCUCCUAGACAGAGCCUGCCUGAGCUUAACUGGUCACAGAAUUACCUGGGCAUAGGUUAUGCAGAUACCUUGGCCCAGUCCCAUCUACAGAAUCAAGGGUCCCCCAGGAGGACUAGGGAACAUAGAUCUCUAACAAGUGUCUCAGUCAUUUGCUUCCUUAUCACCCACCAGCCAGAGGGCCCUAAGAGCCCUUUUGUAGUAGAGCACAGGCCCCUGAAUUGCUGAGAAAGGGAUGCAUAUCCAUGUCAAUUGGGAUGCCACCAGUCUCCUUGAAAAAGUCAGACUCUGACAUCCUCACACUAUCCUGAUGACAGAGUAAUUGGACUACAGAGCAAUGUCCUGACCCAAGGGCUCUAUGUCCUAGAAGCUCAGGCUUCCUGGUUGUUCAGCAGUUCUGCUCUGUCCUCUGUGACACAGCAUGCAGCACAGGGGAUGACAACCCUGAGCAUGACUCAUCCCGACCCAAGGCCACCAAGCCUGGAGACCUGCAGAGGCCUCAUUUUCAUCUUCCUAGAUAUUUUCUGGGCUUUCAGAAUAAUAAACAUCUGCAUAUUCAGAAAGGGUCUUUGGAUUUGUACCAGUGACCAGAGCAAGGCCAGUUUCAUUGGCCAGAAGCAGAGUUUCAGAGCUACCCAACCUGAGCACACUUGUGGGCAUCCUCUGAGGGACCGCUGGGUGGUCACUGGUACCACUGGUGGGUACCACUGGUGGGUACCAGUGGUGGAUGCUCACUGUUGCCCCAGGCAUGACACUUGUAGAUGAGGAUAGUUUCUUUUAACAUCUAUUUUGUACUCUAAAUUCUGACAUCUCUGGGUUGGAAGGGGCUUUUAAAUGUCACCUGGUUUCUUCCUACUGCACCUUGACUGCCCUCCAAGGCACAUGCUCCACAUCAUCCUUGGUGCACGUGGUCUGUACUUGUUGUACAUGGGGUGUACUUGGCUGCUUCCAGUGACAGGAACUCACAGCUUCCUUGGGUGGCCCAGUCUUUUCCCAAAAAGUGAUUCACAGUGUUCACCCUUAACUGAGCCAAAAUCUACCCUCUUGUGUCCACUGCAGUCUGUCAUCUAGGGCUACAACAUUUGUCCUUUCCCAAUAGCAACGUUUGGUAUCAUAAGCAGCCCACCUAUUCCACUAAAAUUUCUGCCAAAGUUAGAGGUCCCCAGUCCUUCCAACUGCCCCUCCUGGAACCUCAUCAGGGGCCAUGGGCUCUGCCUCUGAACAUGAUCCCGUUCAUAAACUCCAGGGUGUGGCCCCAGGAGUAAAGGGCACACCCUGGAAUUCAAGAUCAGGGGGAUGACACAGGGUGGGCUCUGAGCUCACACAGAUGGGAGGUGGAUCCUGGCUCUGCCCUGUGCUGGCUCCAUGACGCUGAGCUAACAUUCUCUCUCCCUCUCUCUCUCUCUCUCUC